UCUCCGUUGGUGAACCAGCGGAGGGAUCAUUACCGAGUUUCCAACUCCCAAACCCACUAUGAACCUAUACCUACACCGUUGCUUCGGCGGGCCCCGGCCCCUGCGAUGCCCCCUCCCGGGGGGGCGGAGCCGGGGGACGUGGCGCCCGCCGGGGACCCAAACUACUGAAUGAUUGAACCGUGGUACUCUGAUUUCUUCCAAAAACAAAUGAAUCAAAACUUUCAACAACGGAUCUCUUGGUUCUG
rnacentral:misc_RNA from 1 species